AAUGCAUCUUAUCUUUUAAAAGUUCCCUAUUGCCUACUGUAGUCAAAUCUGUACUUCACAUUCACAUGUCCUCUCUCCAGCGUUAAUAUUAUUCGGGCCUAUUUUUACGUACAGUGGGGUGCCCAUACGCAAUUGAGUAGCGGAGAGUAGCGAGUAUCAAGCUACAACUCACAGAGAAUCACAAGGAGGAUGUGAGUGAAAGUCCUCGAGUGGCGGACAGGAGAGAGCAUGAGUGACUGAGGCUUAUGUGGUAAGAGGCGAGACGUGGGCCCGAUAUGGAAGAGACAGAAUGGCGGUGAGAGGAGAAACUAGGAUCCUGGGGUGCUGGGAGGGGGGUGAGGGAGUGGGAGAGUGAAAUAGGGAAUGUAGUUGGGUUAGGGUCGAACGAGCGUGGAAUAGGGAUAAGCAGACGAAGGGGACGAAGAGAAAGGAACAUAAUGAAAACAGAAAUCAUUGCACAUUUAGUAUCAUUGGUGUUGAAAUAGCCCAACUCGUACCCUUACGUAACUCAACUCACACCUUUAGGCGCCAAUUAAUGUCACGAUCCACGUAGUGAAUCCCAAAACCAUUCCAGCAUAUUGUAAGACAGAAAGAUCAUCGGUAUCCUGUCUACUAAAUAUACCGAAGGCUGCAUGACCUUGAGCCUGACUCCUUUCAAUCGAUGACAAUCACUUGGCGUGCAUAUAUAUAUAUAGCAAGACAGGGGACUGUUAGACACAAGUACCAGCUCUGCACUGCACUGCUUUACCUCAGCUCCUCCCUGCGACUGUCACUUGCCGGUUUUUCACCUGCCGUCAGCACUAUCUACCCAGAGACAUGAAGUGGACAGCAGUAAUUGUGGCCGUGCUGUGCCUGGUCGCCGUGGGAUUCGCCUCUCCGAUGCCUCAAAACAGAGACGAGCGUUUUUUCGUUCCUGUUUUAACCAAAGUUGAUCUCCAACCUGUACUCAUUGAUUUCAGCAGUAUCGUAGGAGCCUUAACUCCCAGCUUGGUAAAACCUGUUGUACAAGUGCCAGUCUCUACUAAGCACUAGAUGAACGCCCCUCCUGUAUGCUAAAGAAAAGGGAACUGCCACGUAUAGGCCUGAUGGCUUGUUGCAGCUUCCCUUAUGGUUGCACGUACUUGUGUUCUUGUGUUUCUUUUAGUAUCAUACCCUCAUUCCAUCCUUCCAAUGUACCUACACUCGCAUUCCUACACCACACCCUUUCACAGCAUCCCUAUAGCUGUCAGGCACUGGCAUGCUUUCAUUGGUACACUUAUUACCGUCCGAUGAACGUCUAAGUGAAAUGUAGCCAUAGGAAUGUAGUGUAACUGGAUGUGGCAACCGAAACGAACUGGGUCCGAAGACUGGUAAUCCUCUAACAUCGGCACGAGUCCAAAUUAUUCGUCUAACAUCCCGCCUCCCUCUGAAAGAAGACACAAGAAGCCACUACGUACGCUCAUGCUAAGGACGCCGCAGUCUCUACCUGCCCCGGCCCUUCCUGCGUGGAGACCCGAGGGCAUCUUUGACGGGCUAAUGUCUUCCUCUCUUGUUUCGUAUCCGUGUGUGUCUUCAAGUUCGUAUGUUAUGUUUAGGUUUAUUUGUCUGUAUUAAAUUUGUGUUCACUUCU